CUAGUCUUUUGAACCGGCCCCAAAUGCAUCAAAACCCACCGCUAUUUCAAUCUCAGCUCAAACCCUACCACUAUUUCCCCUCACAGUUGCCUCGCCCCAAAUGCAAAAAACCUCUCACGAAUCAACUCAUACGAGGAGAUCUAAAGCUACAAGAUUGAAGCCCACCUUACGCAGCAGAAUCGACCGUCACUAAGGCCUUCUUCUCCGGCAAAGUAUCCGUCUGUAGGGGUUCCAGCCUCGCCUCGAUUUCGUCAAAUUUCAGCUUCGCCUCUCCACUUCACGAUCAUUUGCAGGACCCUGAAGCUUGAUGCUUUGAUUGGCUCGUUGAAUUCGAAGGGUGAGAGGGAAGGAGCUCUUAAAAAGCAGCAUGAGAAAAACUACAACAAAAUAAAUUGUUUGAUGUAGUGUGUAAUAUGUAUGUCGUUUGUGUGUAGCAUGCCGGGAAAGAACUUCGGACUUUGUCAUAGCUGUAGAGAGAAGGGUCACUUAUUUGCGAAUUGUCCGUCCAAACAAAAGAUGAUGCUCCUUGUGUAAAUGUGGAAUUGUGAAGUGCUUCGAGGUCGAGAGGGAGACAAAGAACAAGGGAAGAUUGUUUGAGUGCUGCAGUGCUAAUUGUAAAUAGUGGGCAUAGGUCGAUGAGGGAGAAUCAAGCAGUGGGUCAAGUAAUAUUACCGCUAACUCGAAUAAUCAUGCAGCACUUGAAGAUGUUCAGCAGUUCUCUCGCGUGUUCCAGUCUCUUUGUCACGUGGUCUCUAAGGAACGAAACAUUGAGAUUUCUUUGAAUGUGACAAUAAGGAAUGCCAACGAAAGUGUAGAAGUGGAUGUGAAAGGGAAGGGGCCAACAUGAUUAGUGGUUAGCUGAAUAAGUGACUAGUGUAGUUGAUGUAUUCUGUUAAUAUUGGUGUUUGCACUAAGGUGUUGGCCAGAAAAUUAUUCCUCGCAAACGGUCAUGUUCUUAUCUUAAUGUGAUUAUUCUGGCUUGAAGUUAUUUUUAUGCAAAGCUAGGGUGUGUGAAAUAUUGUUUCAUUUUAAUAGCUUCUA